CCUACGGGAGGCAGCAGUGGGGAAUAUUGGACAAUGGGGGCAACCCUGAUCCAGCCAUGCCGCGUGUGUGAAGAAGGCCUUCGGGUUGUAAAGCACUUUCAGCAGUGAGGAAAGGCGAGUGGUUAAUACCCGCUUGCUGUGACGUUAACUGCAGA
rnacentral:rRNA from 1 species